UACAGAGGUCUCAAGCGUUGUUCGGAUUCAUUGGGCGUAAAGGGUGCGUAGGUGGCGCUGUAAGUCGGGUGUGAAAUUUCGGAGCUUAACUCCGAAACUGCAUUCGAUACUGCGGUGCUUGAGGACUGGAGAGGAGACUGGAAUUCAUGGUGUAGCAGUGAAAUGCGUAGAGAUCAUGAGGAAGACCAGUGGCGAAGGCGGGGUCUCUGGACAGUUCCUGCACUGAGGCACGAAGGCCAGGGGAGCAAACGGG
rnacentral:rRNA from 1 species